rnacentral:tRNA from 2 species
AUCUAAAUAGCUUAAGUAAGAGCAUAACAUUGAAGAUGUUAGGGUAAUUGUUAUAAUUUUUGGAUA